rnacentral:lncRNA from 1 species
GGGUCAUGUGUAUCCCUUGCUGGCCUGGAACUCUAUGUCGAAGAGGAUGCUGGGAUCAUGGGUAUGCCCCACUGUGCCUGGUUUAUGUGGAUCACACCCAGAGCUUCAUUGAUGAUACAGGAGUUUUUGGACCGUGCCUGCCUGACAGGCAGGGAACAGGAAACCCUGAGGUGACAAGGGUCUGAGGUGACAAAGACUUUCUGUGGUGGAACAUUGCAGUGCCCCCCCCCCCCCGCAGCAAGCCUGGUCAUGAGUCACAACAGCAAUAGCAGGCAUUGUGCUAAGGGACAAUAGUCUUAGCUCAUGUG